UCCAGACUCCUACGGGAGGCAGCAGUGAGGAAUAUUGGUCAAUGGGCGAGAGCCUGAACCAGCCAAGUCGCGUGAAGGAUGAAGGAUCUAUGGUUUGUAAACUUCUUUUAUAUGGGAAUAAAGUGAGGAACGUGUUCCUUUUUGUAUGUACCAUAUGAAUAAGCAUCGGCUAACUCCGUGCCAGCAGCCGCGGUAAUACGGAGGAUGCGAGCGUUAUCCGGAUUUAUUGGGUUUAAAGGGUGCGCAGGCGGUCUGUUAAGUCAGCGGUCAAAGCCCGGGGCUCAACCCCGUCGUGCCGUUGAAACUGACGCCCUUGAGUGAGUGAGAAGUAAGCGGAAUGCGUGGUGUAGCGGUGAAAUGCAUAGAUAUCACGCAGAACUCCGAUUGCGAAGGCAGCAUACCGGCGCUCAACUGACGCUCAUGCACGAAAGCGUGGGUAUCGAACAGGAUUAGAUACCCCAGUAAG
rnacentral:rRNA from 1 species